AUCUUUGGUUAUCUAGCUGUAUGAGUGUUCUGCUCGUCAUAAAGCUAGAUAACCGAAAGU
rnacentral:pre_miRNA from 12 species